GGCGGCGUAGCUCAGCUGGCUAGAGCGUACGGUUCAUACCCGUGAGGGUUCGAUCCCCCUCAGCUUCCA
rnacentral:tRNA from 1 species